UGGGGGAUAUUGCACAAUGGGCGAAAGCCUGAUGCAGCGACGCCGCGUGGGGGAUGAAGGCUUUCGGGUUGUAAACCUCUUUCGCUAUCGAACAAGGCCCGCUUAGGGUGGGUUGAGGGUAGGUGGAGAAGAAGCGCCGGCUAACUACGUGCCAGCAGCCGCGGUAAUACGUAGGGCGCGAGCGUCGUCCGGAAUUAUUGGGCGUAAAGGGCUUGUAGGCGGCUUGUUGCGCCUGCUGUGAAAACGCGGGGCUUAACUUCGCGCGUGCAGUGGGUACGGGCAGGCUUGAGUGUGGUAGGGGUGACUGGAAUUCCAGGUGUAGCGGUGGAAUGCGCAGAUAUCUGGAGGAACACCGAUGGCGAAGGCAGGUCACUGGGCCAUUACUGACGCUGAGGAGCGAAAGCAUGGGUAGCGAACAGG
rnacentral:rRNA from 1 species